GUAGUUAGCCGGGGCUUCCUCCUUGGCUACCGUCACUUUCUUCGUCACCAAGGACAGAGGUUUACAACCCGAAAGCCUUCUUCCCUCACGCGGCGUUGCUGGGUCAGGCUUGCGCCCAUUGCCCAAUAUUCCCCACUGCUGCCUCCCGUAGGAGUCUGGACCGUGUCUCAGUUCCAGUGUGGCCGAUCAGCCUCUCAGCUCGGCUACCCAUCGUCGACUUGGUGGGCCGUUACCCCGCCAACUAUCUAAUGGGACGCGAGCCCCUCCCAAAGCGGAUUUCUCCUUUGACCCCUCCCCGAUGUCGGGCUGUGGUCUUAUGCGGUAUUAGCACUUGUUUCCAGGUGUUAUCCCCCUCUUUGGGUCAGGUUGCUCACGCGUUACUCACCCGUUCGCCACUAGCUACACAACCGAAAUCGUGUAGCCCGUUCGACUUGCAUGUGUUAGGCACGCCGCCAGCGUUCGUCCUGAGCCAUAUCAACACUCACUACGUAGACGGCGUGCGACGAGGCGACAG
rnacentral:rRNA from 1 species